rnacentral:rRNA from 1 species
AUUGAACGCUGGCGGCAGGCCUAACACAUGCAAGUCGAGCGAGCGGCGGACGGGUGAGUAAUGUAUGGGGACUGCCCGAUAGAGGGGGAUAACUACUGGAAACGGUGGCUAAUACCGCAUACUAUCGGAUAACCCAUAUGGGGCUAGCUAGUAGGUGGGGUAAAGGCUCACCUCGGAGACGAUCUCUAGCUGGUCUGAGAGGAUGAUCAGCCACACUGGGACUGAGACACGGCCCAGACUCCUAGGGAGGAAGCAGUGGGGAAUCUUGCACAAUGGGCGCAAGCCUGAUGCAGCCAUGCCGCGUGUAUGAAGAAGGCCUUAGGGUUGUAAAGUACGUUCAGAGGGGAGGCGUUACCCGAAGAAGAAGGACCGGCUAACUCCGUGCCAGCAGCCGCGGUAAUUC